GGAGAGGGCUAGCGUUAUUCGGAAUUAUUGGGCGUAAAGGGCGCGUAGGCGGAUUAGUAAGUUAAAAGUGAAAUCCCAAGGCUCAACCUUGGAAUUGCUUUUAAAACUGCUAAUCUAGAGAUUGAAAGAGGAUAGAGGAAUUCCUAGUGUAGAGGUGAAAUUCGUAAAUAUUAGGAGGAACACCAGUGGCGAAGGCGUCUAUCUGGUUCAAAUCUGACGCUGAGGCGCGAAGGCGUGGGGAGCAAACAGGAUUAGAUACCCUGGUAGUCCACGCUGUAAACGAUGAAUGUUAAAUAUGGGGAGUUUACUUCCUGUAUUACAGCUAACGCGUUAAACAUUCCGCCUGGGGACUACGGUCGCAAGAUUAAAACUCAAAGGAAUUGACGGGGACCCGCACAAGCGGUGGAGCAUGUGGUUUAAUUCGAUGCAACGCGAAAAACCUUACCACUCCUUGACAUGGAAAUUAUACCUAUUCGAAGGGAUAGGGUCGGUUCGGCCGGGUUUCACACAGGUGU
rnacentral:rRNA from 1 species